rnacentral:rRNA from 1 species
CCUACGGGGGGCAGCAGUGGGGAAUAUUGGACAAUGGGGGCAACCCUGAUCCAGCCAUGCCGCGUGAGUGAUGAAGGCCUUCGGGUUGUAAAGCUCUUUUGGCGGGGACGAUGAUGACGGUACCCGCAGAAUAAGCCCCGGCUAACUUCGUGCCAGCAGCCGCGGUAAGACGAAGGGGGCUAGCGUUGUUCGGAAUUACUGGGCGUAAAGCGAGUGUAGGUGGUUGUUCAAGUUGGAUGUGAAAGCCUUGAGCUCAACUCAAGAAAUGCAUUCAGGACUGAGCGACUAGAGGACCGGAGAGGAUAGUGGAAUUCCCAGUGUAGUGGUGAAAUACGUAGAGAUUGGGAAGAACACCAGUGGCGAAGGCGGCUAUCUGGACGGUUUCUGACACUAAGACUCGAAAGCGUGGGGAGCAAACAGGAUUAGAUACCCGAGUAGUC